AGUGAACGCUGGCGGUAGGCCUAACACAUGCAAGUCGAACGGCAGCACAGUAAGAGCUUGCUCUUACGGGUGGCGAGUGGCGGACGGGUGAGGAAUACAUCGGAAUCUACUUUUUCGUGGGGGAUAACGUAGGGAGACUUACGCUAAUACCGCAUACGACCUACGGGUGAAAGCAGGGGAUCUUCGGACCUUGCGCGAUUGAAUGAGCCGAUGUCGGAUUAGCUAGUUGGCGGGGUAAAGGCCCACCAAGGCGACGAUCCGUAGCUGGUCUGAGAGGAUGAUCAGCCACACUGGAACUGAGACACGGUCCAGACUCCUACGGGAGGCAGCAGUGGGGAAUAUUGGACAAUGGGCGCAAGCCUGAUCCAGCCAUACCGCGUGGGUGAAGAAGGCCUUCGGGUUGUAAAGCCUUUUUGUUGGGAAAGAAAAGCAGCAGGUUAAUACCCCGCUGUUCUGACGGUACCCAAAGAAUAAGCACCGGCUAACUUCGUG
rnacentral:rRNA from 1 species